UGUCCUACGUGGAGGGUUAAUGAAACGGUUCAUUUGAUUCGAACCUAUGCAACGACGUGUUUCAGUUUGGAAUUUCUCCUUCUCCCCAUAGCCCUUCUGAUCUCCCAUGAACCCUUCCCCUUCUUCUUCUCCUUCUCCUUCUUCUUCUUAUCUCCACGUACCCUUCCUCCUCUUCUCCAUCUCCAUCCUUAUCUUUUCAAGAUCCUCUAAAAUUGAUAUUCUCCAUCUCCAUCUUCAUGAGUUUCAUCUCUUCUAAUCUUCUCCAUCUUCACGUCUCCUCUGAUCCUCUGAGUUUCCUCAUCAAUAUCUAUUUUCGUCUGCUUAAGUUUCUUAAGUAUGUUUCCUCUUCAACCCACGAAGCCUUAUUUUUCCCUUUCACCGAAUCUUCUCCUCCUUGCCAACACCAAUCCCGAAACCCUAACCCUAACCCUAAUCUAGCCCCUUCCCCUUCAUCCCUAACUUUUGGACGUUGGGUUUGGGCACUGGGACAAAUGGCCAGAGAACCCGCUGGUUUGAGAAUCGGCUCACUCAUUUAUUUAUUUAUUUUUACUCUAGCUAGGAAUAGAGCCCAUGGCUGCAACCGAGUUAGAAAGUCUCUAUGGGUGUCUCAUCCAUCUCUGUGGGUGUCUUUGUGAACAAGUGGGUGCUUGUCUAGCAUGUAAGAGGCAAUUUGUUGGUUACAAGAUCCAAAUGAUUUGUUGCACAAGCAGUGGUCUUGUGGAAACAUCAUAUGGCAAUCGAAAGGGGACGCCUUGUUUUCAAGAGAUGGGAGAGGCACCACUACUUCAAAGUCUGACCCUGAGAUUAUAGACAUGGAGUUUGAGGAUAGAAGAACUCAAGAGUCCGAAACUGAAGCGCCAUGUAUUGGAACCAAUGGUUAUAUUAUAUUGGACAAUUAUUUGUAUUUUUAGCUGAAGAGAUUUUUAUUUGUAAUUAUUUUUAGAUGGUAUGAGAAAUUUUAUGUAUAAAUAUGAUGUUGGUGCUAGCAACUUUACACUAUCUGAAAUUUGAGUUUGUGUAAUGAUAUGAGUUUGUGCGAUGAUACAUUGACAUAAAUAGUAAAUAACUUCCGAAA